rnacentral:lncRNA from 1 species
AGGCCUCUCUGGACCUGUGGUUAAUGGAAUCUUUGUCUUUUGACCAGUAUUUCUUCUAUUCCCUCGAAGUAAUCCUCUGUUUCUGUUAAAUCAUCUGGUGUUCUGCAUUACAACGAGAAAAAAUAGUGAGAUAAACUAUGACGGUUCAGUAAUUACACAUUUUAAACAUAUAUAUGACGUUGAAGCUAAGUCCAAUAUUACUACUUCACGAGACAGAUUAAAUUCAGUGAAGCAUAAUCGAGCAAAACUACAAAUCUAAGUGAAACUAUGUAGACAAAUAAAUGUAAGGAUGAGAUAGGAUCGACAUCUUGAAGACAAAUAAAUGUAACUGCUGGUUAUGUGUUUAACUGUGAAAAUCUAUGAUUCACUAUUAUGAAACUAUUGUAGUUAUGUUCAUAAUAAGCUAGGCACAUCUGAAACAUAAAAAUAAUAUACUGUUUCAUGAUAAACACAAAAUGUCAAUGUAUAUAGUAACACUGAAACUAAAUCUAAAAAAAAGUAACAUUGAAGCUACUGACAUGGAGACUUGACAACGCUGUGAACUUCCAUGACAAAAUACCAAAAAGUCAUAGCAGUACCUAUUCAUUAUCAUUUAUCAUCCAACGCCUAAUGAUGCCAUGAUGAGACUGUUCAGUUUGUCCUAGUUUUGUUCUAUUUGGAAUGAAAACUGCACAAACCCCAAGCAGAUUAAAUGUGAAAGAACUUACUUACCACAAGUUUGUGGGAUAAUAAGUUGAAGCUUGUCUUGACGACAUUUGAAAUGAUAAACCUGUAAAAUAAAAAUUCACUAGAACUUUAGGCAUGAAAGCAGAGGUACUAAGCAAUUUGCGAAUGGUAAGUGUGGAGAUAGAACAGAGGGCGCAUACCUAUACCUUAUUUACGCUACAAGAAGAGCUUCCUCGGGU